AUACGCAGUCUGCAACCCGACUGCGUGAAGUCGGAAUCGCUAGUAAUCGCGGAUCAGCAUGCCGCGGUGAAUACGUUCCCGGGCCUUGUGCACACCGCCCGUCACACCAUGAGAGUCGGGAACACCCGAAGUCCGUAGCCUAACCGCAAGGGGGCGCGGCGAAGGUGGGUUCGAUAAUUGGGGUGAAGUCGUAACAAGGUACC
rnacentral:rRNA from 1 species